GUGCAAUUUUUUUCCCGAAAAUAAUGUAAUAAUUUAUCAUCAACUAGGGAAAGGCGAAACCAAAAGCCUCCACAACGAUGGCAGUCUCCACAGGCGCUCAAAGGAUUUCCAAGUAUAGUCCGAUCCAUGAACUUUUCGAAAUCAAGCGCAGAUCAUCCCAGAUUUUGCUCAACGAUUCCGUCACUACAAGAAAUGAUGGUUCGCGGAUUCAUUAAUAUGAGUGCAAUCGACUGGCCAUUAGAAGAUCGAAUCGAAGGCAUCCUGGCCGAGGUUGAUCUAUUCCCAUACUGAUAUAUCCAGAGGGGAAGAAAUCAGAGAACAGACGAGAGGAAGAAAUCUGAGAAGGUUAACAUAGAUGAGGGGAAGAAAUCCGGUGACUAACCGAGCAGGACAACGGCAGAGCAGUGUAGUGAGAUCUGGAUCACAGUAACUGUGCGUCGCUGAAUCGAGAACUAGUGUAAAAAUAUCGUAUUCGUGCCGGUGCCGAUCUCCGCAACAAGCAGGAAACCGCCUCCAACCUACAUCCACUAUACCUGAAAUCUCAACGCGAAGAGUGGAAGAUCCGCAGGAAUCUCCACGCAAAGUUUCGUCACGGCCGCCCUCGGGCUGCCUGCUAUUACUCUUUCUGAGUCUGAGCUCCUUCGACCAGGAAAGGACGCGGG
rnacentral:lncRNA from 1 species